AGCGUAGGCGGACUUUUAAGUGGGAUGUGAAAUACCCGGGCUUAACCUGGGUGCUGCAUUCCAAACUGGAAGUCUAGAGUACAGGAGGGGAAAGUGGAAUUCCUAGUGUAGCGGUGAAAUGCGUAGAGAUUAGGGAGAACACCAGUGGCGAAGGCGGCUUUCUGGACUGUAACUGACGCUGAGGCUCGAAAGCGUGGGGAGCAAACA
rnacentral:rRNA from 1 species